GAUGAACGCUGGCGGCGUGCCUAAUACAUGCAAGUCGAGCGAACGGACGAGAAGCUUGCUUCUCUGAUGUUAGCGGCGGACGGGUGAGUAACACGUGGAUAACCUACCUAUAAGACUGGGAUAACUUCGGGAAACCGGAGCUAAUACCGGAUAAUAUUUUGAACCGCAUGGUUCAAAAGUGAAAGACGGUCUUGCUGUCACUUCUAGAUGGAUCCGCGCUGCAUUAGCUAGUUGGUAAGGUAACGGCUUACCAAGGCAACGAUGCAUAGCCGACCUGAGAGGGUGAUCGGCCACACUGGAACUGAGACACGGUCCAGACUCCUACGGGAGGCAGCAGUAGGGAAUCUUCCGCAAUGGGCGAAAGCCUGACGGAGCAACGCCGCGUGAGUGAUGAAGGUCUUCGGAUCGUAAAACUCUGUUAUUAGGGAAGAACAUAUGCGUAAGUAACUGUGCACAUCUUGACGGUACCUAAUCAGAAAGCCACGGCUAACUACGUG
rnacentral:rRNA from 1 species